CAGCCCCGUCACUCCGGAGCUGGGACGCGGGAGGGGAACUGUGAGCACGUGACUGUCCUCGCCCUGGUCGGUCUCUCUUGAUAGCCGUUGGCUUAGGUGGCGUCGGAACUCCAACCGAAGCUGAAAGGAUUGUGCUCCGACACGGCAGGUGCUCAGCGUGGAGCCCAACAGACAUGCGUCCUUCCGUGGUGAGGUCUUCCGUCUGAUGGGAAGAUGGACACAAACAAGUGAACCAGCGUCUGCCUAAGUCAUUCCGGAGUGAAGUGCUCCCUGCAUACGCACCCGGCAUAGGACCCCGGAGUCACGUGGUGGAGGAGACAACAGGUGAACUGAGACCUGAAGACCGGAAGGAGCCCCGGGGCGGGGAUGGGUGUCCCAGGAAGCCCAGGAGUGCGAGCGAGAGCCCUGAAGCCUGGCCCAGUAAAGAAGACUCCCCCGGGGCGCAUAGGAAGCUUGGUGAGAUCAUCAGUGAACAUCACUGAAGGCUGGUCCAAGCUUGGAAUGCCUGUUUACAGAAACACGUCCGCAAUUCACUUAAUGUUUCCGGGAAGUCCUGAUCUUCUCACCCGGGAAUGUUAAUAAAAGG
rnacentral:lncRNA from 1 species